rnacentral:lncRNA from 1 species
UUUUGAGAUGUAUAUGGAAACAUUUGGUACUGAGAAUUAUGAACAUUGCCACCGGUGUGAGGCGAUUGGUUUUGAGGUGGAUAUGGAAACAUUUGGUAUUGAGAAUUUUGAAAAUUGCCCCCGGGGUGAUGCGGUUGGUUUUGAGGUGGAUAUGGAGACAUUUGGUGUUGAUAAUUUUGAAAAUUGCCACCGGGGUGAUGCGAUUGGUUUUGAGGUGGAUAUGGAGACAUUUGGUGUUGAGAAAUUUGAAAAUUGCCUCGGGUGUGACGCGCUUGGUUGUGAGGAGGAAAUGACGGCGUAGGUCGAAACACCUGUGAAGGUUGGUUUCCUUGUUGUAACACCGGCGGAGGUUGAGAACUUUC